rnacentral:rRNA from 1 species
UACGUAGGAGGCGAGCGUUGUCCGGAGUUACUGGGCGUAAAGGGUGCGCAGGCGGCGGUUCGCGUGGCGAGAUGAAAUCUCCUGGCUUACCUGGGAGGAUGGUCGCCAGACGGGAUCGCUUGAGGGUCGGAGAGGGGCGUGGAAUUCCGGGUGGAGCGGUGAAAUGCGUAGAUAUCAGGAGGAACACCUGUGGUGUAGACAGCUUACUGGACCACGACUGACGCUGAGACACGAAAGCGUGGGUAGCAAACAGG